rnacentral:lncRNA from 1 species
AAGUAACAUUGCAGGAGGGCAAUGAAGGGAGCACGUAAAGGAGAAAAUGGGACAAUGAGGCAGAAGGUCAUCAAUGAAGUGCUAUCAGUACUGGACCAGACUUCCACAGGCAUGGCAAGUACUGCACGGUGCUUCUCUACUGCAGCGGAAAGCAAAGAGAACUGGUGGACCAAACUGAGGAGUAAUUCGUUCUUCAGUUCAUAACCCCUGAGGGCCCACGGGAGGUAGCCAGACCUCCAGAAAACCUGCCCUGCAGGACUCCAGGAGCUGGGCUCAAGCAUACUCCAGGAGCUGGACAGAGGAUGACAUCAGGAAAUGUGCUGAAGAUUCCAAAGAGCAGUCAGCUGAGCAGUGAGGUGAGCAGUCCGCAGAGCAUUGAGGGAAGCAGUCAGGUCCACCAAAAAG